rnacentral:tRNA from 1 species
GCCUGGGUGGCUCAGUUGGUUAAGCGUCCGACUUCGGCUCAGGUCAUGUUCUCACGGUCCGUGGGUUCGAGCCCCGCGUCGGGCU